rnacentral:rRNA from 1 species
UACGGGGGGGAGCAAGCGUUGUUCGGAUUUAUUGGGCGUAAAGAGCGUGUAGGCGGCUUUACAGGUCCGUUGUGAAAACUCGAGGCUCAACCUCGAGACGCCGGUGGAAACCGUAAAGCUAGAGUCCGGAAGAGGAGAGUGGAAUUCCUGGUGUAGCGGUGAAAUGCGCAGAUAUCAGGAGGAACACCCGUGGCGAAAGCGGCUCUCUGGGACGGUACUGACGCUGAGACGCGAAAGCGUGGGGAGCAAACAGG